UGGCGUCUCGACAUCCACGACACAGCACCACCUGCCAAGGUAAACACGAAUCCUGUAGUGCUCUUUCGAGUCUCUGGGUCAUUGGCCCAGUCACUGUCACAAUAUCCUACCAGGAUAAUGGUCUUGGAUUCAUUUGACUGUCGCUUAUACGUGAUACCAUAAUCCACAGUGCCACUGAGAUAGCGAAACACACGCUUCAAUGCACCUACAUGCUUGCCAGUUGGUUUAGCCACGAACCGACUGAGUUGACUCAACACGAACGCUAGGUCCGGUCUAGUGCUCGUUGCAAGAUAUAUCAGCAUGCCAAUAGGGAAAACUAGUCUCUUCCUUAUCUCCUUCACCACAUGGUGCGAAGCGAGCGUUUACUUCCAUCGGAUUUCCUACUGCAUGUGCUUCUCCACAACCAAUUUUCUCCAAAAUCUCACGCGUAUACUUGCUUUGCUUAAUCGUCACAUGAUCACUAGUCUGGUUCACUUCAACACCAAGAUACUGGGUCCAAAGUCCCUGGUCCUUGAUUCCAUAUUCCUUGUCCAAAUCCAUGAGCAACUUCACCUUUCUCUGCUCGUCGUUAGGUGCCACCAAGAUGUCAUCUACGUAGACCAACACAAGCAUAAUCUUCUCAUCAUCGUGCUUGUAGUACAAACUCAGCGAACGCUGAAAACCUUGCUUCGCUAGCCACUGAUUCAGCUCGGUAUUCCACUCACGACCGGACUGUCUUAGUCCAUACAGUGCCUUCAUAACCACGUACAUGUGCCCCUCAACUUCACACGGAAAUUCCAUCGAUUGACUUCACAUACUGUCGUAUACCAAAUUUUGCAUUCAGGUACGCUGUAUUGGUAUCUCCACCAUACAGCUUCAGUAUCAAUGCUGCUGCCAAUCCAAGCAUUAAUCGAAACAAAAACAUCCGUGCCACAGGUGAGAAUGUAUCUCUGAAGUAAAUUCCAGGUCGUUGAUAGUUGCCCAUUCCUACCAGUCUCGCCUUAAAGCGAAUCACGUAGCCUUGAUAGUCCGACUUGAUAUCAUAAACCCAUCUUGUCCUGAUUGGUUUGGCAUCCUCUGGAACAUCUUCAGCAGAAAUCUCCAUCAGAACUUAUUUCGCUCUCAUUGAAGCCAUCUCCUUCAACUCAGCUUCACGCCAAAAGUCUUUAUACUUUGACCUCAUGGCUUCCCUGUGAUUUCUGGGGAUCUUGAUUGUUAGCACGAAUCGGUGUUCCAUUCUGGCCCAAUACUCGAGCCGUACUCUGCAAUGCAUUCACCACGUAGUCGCUCAGAUAGUCGGGCCGUCGACGCUCAUGGUAUUCGCGUAAUCCUGUGCGAGUUCGUUUUGGCAGCGGUUUCUCAGCACACUCCUCCACCCGUCCUUCUUCUGACGAUGUUUCAUCGCGAUGACGUUUGCCAUCAACUCUCCACAUACUCUUGCAACCGUAACAAUAUCAUCAUCAUCAUCAUUGAUUUCUGCAAUGUCUUCCAGUACUUCUUCUUCUGCAAUGUCUUCAUUAUCUACCAUAGAACCACACACUCCAGCAGUUGAAUCACUCCCAUCAUUGGAGCUUCUUCUCGUGCCUCAGGUUCGUACUCUGGUGUGGUAUUUUCUUCAGGUAGUACGCUCACAAUAAUCUCACUGCGCUGAUCACUAUUACCAGGAGUUGUUUCUUCACAUUGUAUCGGAACUUCAUCAGUCGCACGAUCUGCAGUCACAAUACCAGUCACCGUUUGUCCACUCGCUGCAGUUGGUUCACUCGGCAAGGCAGCCGUGACGCCUUCAACAGUCGCAACACUUCCGACCUCAGGAGCUGCAACUUCAGGAGCUGCUGUAGUUCCUCCACUCGCAACACUUCCGACGUCAGGAGCGAUAGUAGCUCCACCACGUUCUGUGUCUGCAGGAGCUUCAUAUUCCUCGCCUCCCUCGAGAUCGACGGUCUCCAUGACUACGGUCUCGACACUUACUGAAGCGACGGUAACAUCACUCUCGAGCUGAACUGUAGACUCAUAGAGAGUAGAGUCCCUCUCACACUUUUCUUCAGCUGCACUCAACUGCUCAAAGUGUAAUGAUUCCAAGUCUGCCUUAUCUACUGAUGCUUCAUGUCUGUCACGAUACAUUACGUCUUCAGUGACUCGUAGAUCUGCUACAAACUUGGCUGUCCGGUUAUCUGGAAAAUAGACUUUACACCCAACGACAUCUUCAGCAUAACCAAGAACAAAACCCAGUCGAGCAUUAUCAUGAUAUUUCUUCCUUCCAGGCGUCACUGGGACGUGAACGUAUGCGAGUGCCCCGAAUUUCCGAAUAUGAUGCAAGUCAGGCUGUACGCCGAACAUCAUUUGGUACGGGAUACCUUCUGUGCCUUUGUUGU
rnacentral:rRNA from 1 species